rnacentral:rRNA from 1 species
UAGGGAAUCGUCCACAAUGGGCGCAAGCCUGAUGGAGCAACACCGCGUGAGUGAAGAAGGGUUUCGGCUCGUAAAGCUCUGUUGUUAAAGAAGAACACGUAUGAGAGUAACUGUUCAUACGUUGACGGUAUCUAACCAGAAAGUCACGGCUAACUACGUGCCAG